rnacentral:lncRNA from 1 species
CUCUCUGGUACUUAAAACGCUCUGACAUUGUUAAGAUUUUCCUAAAAUUGUCAUCGCUUAUUUUCUCAAAGGAUGUAAUGUCAAGGAAACUGGAUGUGCCAUUCAAAGACAAAGAACAAAGGGACAAGCAUACCGUAGAGUGAUAGAUGACGACACGUGCCCAACAGAAGCUGCGAAGAUGCAAAGAUACAGAUGUACGGUUUGUCGAUAUGUUAUUUUUGUUAUUCACAAUCAAAAAGUUGCAAUAAUAUUGCAGUUCUUAAUUUUAAGUAUGUCGACUAGGAAUUAAAAUUAAAUUGGACAUUUAUUUUUUUGUAAGUUGCUUUUUAACGUGAAUUAAUUCAUUUUUUCUCAUUAUUUUAUGGUGGCUUACGUGAAAUUGAGCGCAUUUGUUACGUACUGGAUGGAUGGACGAGUACAUGCCAACCAUGAUGGACCAUCGACAGAAUGACGAACCGUGACCAACAGAAGCAAAAAUGCAGAUGUACAUG